AAGGCAUAAUGAUGAAUUUCUUUUAAAAAAUCUGAUUAUUUUGAUGAUCAAUUACCUCCUACUCAUUCUGA
rfam:Gossypium arboreum cultivar AKA8401 contig_4805_1, whole genome shotgun sequence.